UACAGAGGGUGCGAGCGUUAAUCGGAAUUACUGGGCGUAAAGCGUGCGUAGACGGCUAUCUAAGUCGGGUGUGAAAGCCCCGGGCUCAACCUGGGAAUUGCAUUCGAGACUGAAUAGCUAGGGUACGGUAGAGGGAAGUGGAAUUCCGGUGUAGCGGUGAAAUGCGUAGAUAUCAGGAGGAACACCAGUGGCGAAGGCGGCUCACUGGACCGGUACUGACGCUGAGGCGCGAAAGCGUGGGAGCAAACAGG
rnacentral:rRNA from 1 species